rnacentral:rRNA from 1 species
GACGAACGCUGGCGGCGUGCUUAACACAUGCAAGUCGAACGGUGAAGCUCCAGCUUGCUGGAGUGGAUCAGUGGCGAACGGGUGAGUAACACGUGAGCAACCUGCCCCAGACUCUGGAAUAAGCGCUGGAAACGGCGUCUAAUACUGGAUACGAGAUCAAGCUGCAUGGUUGUGGUCUGGAAAGUUUUUCGGUUUGGGAUGGGCUCGCGGCCUAUCAGCUUGUUGGUGAGGUAAUGGCUCACCAAGGCGACGACGGGUAGCCGGCCUGAGAGGGCGACCGGCCACACUGGGACUGAGACACGGCCCAGACUCCUACGGGAGGCAGCAGUGGGGAAUAUUGCACAAUGGGCGAAAGCCUGAUGCAGCGACGCCGCGUGAGGGAUGACGGCCUUCGGGUUGUAAACCUCUUUCAGCAGGGAAGAAGCGAAAGUGACGGUACCUGCAGAAGAAGCACCGGCUAACUACGUG